rnacentral:rRNA from 1 species
AAGGGCACCACAAGAACGCGUGGAGCAUGUGGCUUAAUUUGACUCAACGCGGGAAAUCUUACCGGGUCCGGACAUACUGAGGAUUGACAGGCUUUUUAACACCUUUUUUAUUUUUUUAAUCUUAUGUGUUAAGCACAUAUGCUAGUCCUUUCAUGAUUGUAUGAUAGGUGGUGCAUGGCCGUUCUUAGUUCGUGGAGUGAUCUGUCUGCUUAAUUGCGUUUCAUUACGAGCCUUUCAUUAAACUUUUAAAUUUUUACACUCAUUUUUGAUCGUUAAUUUAUUAACCAAAUUUGAGAUAAUGUAUUGUUUUUUUAGUUAAGGGGGCCGGAAGGCAACGAACGUGACCGCAACCUCUUGUUGCUUUUUUUUUAUUAUAAUUUUUUAUUUUUUUAAAAUUUUAUAUUUAUUUUAUUAAUUAUUUUUAUAAUUUUUAAAUAUACACAAAAGCUAACUAGAGGGACUGCUGAUAUCUUGUUAAAACAGAGGAAGGUUGCGACAAUAACAGGUCUGUGAUGCCCUUAGAUGUUCCGGGCUGCACACGUGCUACAAUGAUUAUUGCAGUGAGCAUCUUAUUUUUUUUAAAAGUAGUAUUUAUUUUUUGUUUGAUGAAUUUUUAAUUUUUUUAAAAUUUUAAAUUCGUAGAAAAAUGUACACUUACAACCUACUUCGAAAGUCAGUAGGUAAUCAGUUCGAAGUAAUGAUUUCCUCUUUUUAUUUAUAUGAAUUUUAAUUUUAUAUAUUUUUAAUUGACGCACAUAUUUAUGUCAGUGUUUUUUCAAUUACUCUUAUUGUUUUAAAAGAAUUUUAUUUUUUUAUAUUAUUCCAUAGAUAUUUGUUAUUGGCACUUUUGACAUGUGCUCCAUUUUUUUAAUGACAAUUCGUGGUGGGGACAGACCAUUGAUAAUUGUUGGUCUCGGUCUCAACUAGGAAUGCCUUGUACUGGUCUUUGGUUCAACAAACCACCAGGAAUAUGUCCCUGCCCUUUGUACACACCGCCCGUCGCUCUUACCGAUGGGCUACUCUGUGAGUUUGAGGGACUGGUUUGAGUAGUUUUUUAUUAAAUUACACAAACUAUAGAAACUUAAACGAACAGUGUGGUCUAAAGGAAAGAGAAGUCGUAACAAGGCAUCGGUAGGUGAACCU